rnacentral:misc_RNA from 1 species
ACCACCGUUCGGUCGAUCGCGAAGAAAGCGAUCACCAAUCCGCAUGUCCUCAACGAAGCGUCCGAUUACGACAAGCCGAGUUCGUUCUCGCGCGGCAUUCGGCUCGAUCUCGGUUCAGUUUCCGUUCUUCUCAUUUCCGGAACCGCCA